GAUGAACGCUGGCGGCGUGCCUAAUACAUGCAAGUCGAGCGAAUGGAUUAAGAGCUUGCUCUUAUGAAGUUAGCGGCGGACGGGUGAGUAACACGUGGGUAACCUGCCCAUAAGACUGGGAUAACUCCGGGAAACCGGGGCUAAUACCGGAUAACAUUUUGAACCGCAUGGUUCGAAAUUGAAAGGCGGCUUCGGCUGUCACUUAUGGAUGGACCCGCGUCGCAUUAGCUAGUUGGUGAGGUAACGGCUCACCAAGGCAACGAUGCGUAGCCGACCUGAGAGGGUGAUCGGCGACACUGGGACUGAGACACGGCCCAGACUCCUACGGGAGGCAGCAGUAGGGAAUCUGCGGCAAUGGACGAAAGUCUGACGGAGCAACGCCGCGUGAGUGAUGAAGGCUUUCGGGUCGUAAAACUCUGUUGUUAGGGAAGAACAAGUGCUAGUUGAAUAAGCUGGCACCUUGACGGUACCUAACCAGAAAGCCACGGCUAACUACGUGCCAGCCGCCGCCGUAA
rnacentral:rRNA from 1 species